UCAAAGCCUAGUUGUCCCGUGCCAAAUUUCAUAAACAUUAUCUUAAUCCUCUACCAAUAUUGAGUAAUUCUAUAUUAUUAUAGAAAAUUUUAUGUUAAAACUAGUAACAAGAAAAAGACUUUCUCUUAAAUGUAAGUGUAAAUCAGAUAGGACAAGCCGCUGAUACUUAACAUUACUGAGCCAAAAGUAGAAACUCACCAAGAAAACCCUACUUUUAUUUAUGUUAACCUAACACAAGAACAUUAUAAGAAAGAUUGAAAGAAAAAGAAGGAACUCGGCAAAUAUAAACCUCGCCUGUUUACCAAAAACAUCGCCUCUUGGAUUUUAUAAGAGGUCCAGCCUGCCCAGUGACUUUGUUCAACGGCCGCGGUAUCCUAACCGUGCGAAGGUAGCGUAAUCACUUGUUCUUUAAAUUAGGACUAGUAUGAACGGCAUCACGAAGGUUUUACUGUCUCCUUUUUCCAAUCAGUGAAACUAAUCUUCCCGUGAAGAAGCGAGAAUAUAAGUAUAAGACGAGAAGACCCUAUGGAGCUUAAAACAACUCAACACUUGCUUAAAUAUUUAAAAAUUUCAGAACUUCAAACUCUUCAAGCAAUAUGAUUGUAAAGUUUUUGGUUGGGGUGACCACGGAGUAUAAUACAACCUCCCUGUUGAAAGUUUUUCUAAGCUAAGAAUUACCCGUCUAAGCAUCAACACACUGACACUCCUUGACCCAAUAUAUUUGAUCAACGAACCAAGUUACCCUAGGGAUAACAGCGCAAUCUACUUCAAGAGCUCCUAUCGACAAGUAGGUUUACGACCUCGAUGUUGGAUCAGGGUAUCCUAGUGGUGUAGCCGCUACUAAA
rnacentral:rRNA from 1 species